UCUAAUAUGGCAGAAAUAAUGCUUUGAUCUUAAAAAUCAAAUAUAAAGACUAUCUUUUUUUAGAA
rnacentral:tRNA from 1 species